UAAAACUCUGCCCGGCCAAGGAAACCACUUUGGCUUUGGUUUGCAAAUGCCCAAAUCUGCAGACCGAGUACACAAGAAAGGAAGGAUAUUGAGUAAUUGAAAUCAUUAGCAGAAAUUGAGAAUAAAGAGUGUGUGAGAGAGAUAGUGACCUGUGCAAGGACAUGCUUGGGCAAACCGGAGCCUUGGAAGAAGGAGACGGCCUCGGCACCGCUGAUACGGCCGUCGCGAUCCAAAUCGGCGCGUCGAAAAUAAGCAUCGAAUAGAUCGACAUUAGGCGCUGCCGAUGCCAUUGCAGAAUUCAACAGCACCGCC